AAGGAAUUUUCGGCAAUGGACGCAAGCCUGACCGAGCAACGCCGCGUGCGGGAUGACGGCCUUCGGGUUGUAAACCGCUUUUGGGGGGGAUGACACGGACAGUACCUCCCGAAUAAGCCCCGGCUAACUCUGUGCCAGCAGCCGCGGUAAUACAGAGGGGGCAAGCGUUGUCCGGACUUACUGGGCGUAAAGCGCACGUAGGUGGUUGUGCAAGUGGGGUGUGAAAUCGCGCGGCUUAACCGCGCGGCGCCAUCCCAAACGGCACGACUCGAGCCACGCAGAGGGUCCUGGAAUUGCCGGUGUAGUGGUGAAAUGCGUAGAGAUCGGCAGGAACACCAAGGGGGAAGCCAAGGACCUGGGCGUGCGCUGACACUGAGGUGCGACAGCGUGGGGAGCGAA
rnacentral:rRNA from 1 species